AGAACGAACGCUGGCGGCAUGCCUAAUACAUGCAAGUCGAACGAACUCUUCGGAGUUAGUGGCGCACGGGUGCGUAACGCGUGGGAAUCUGCCCCUUGGUUCGGAAUAACAGUUGGAAACGACUGCUAAUACCGGAUGAUGACGAAAGUCCAAAGAUUUAUCGCCAAGGGAUGAGCCCGCGUAGGAUUAGCUAGUUGGUGAGGUAAAGGCUCACCAAGGCAACGAUCCUUAGCUGGUCUGAGAGGAUGAUCAGCCACACUGGGACUGAGACACGGCCCAGACUCCUACGGGAGGCAGCAGUAGGAAUAGUUGACAAGUGGGCGCAAGCCUGACUCCAGCAAUGCCGCG
rnacentral:rRNA from 1 species